GACGAACGCUGGCGGCGUGCUUAACACAUGCAAGUCGAGCGGUAAGGCCCUUUCGGGGGUACGACGAGCGGCGAACGGGUGAGUAACACGUGGGUGACCUGCCCUCAGCUCUGGGAUAAGCCUGGGAAACCGGGUCUAAUACUGGAUAUGACUCCAUGACGCAUGUUGUGGGGUGGAAAGCCUUGUGCGGCUGAGGAUGGGCCCGCGGCCUAUCAGCUUGUUGGUGGGGUGAGGCCUACCAAGGCGACGACGGGUAGCCGGCCUGAGAGGGCGACCGGCCACACUGGGACUGAGACACGGGCCCAGACUCCUACGGGGAGGCAGCAGUGGGGGAAUCUUGCGCAAUGGGCGAAAGCCUGACGCAGCGACGCCGCGUGAGGGAU
rnacentral:rRNA from 1 species